CCAGCUUGCUGGUGUGGAUUAGUGGCGAACGGGUGAGUAACACGUGAGUAACCUGCCCCUCACUCUGGGAUAAGCCUGGGAAACUGGGUCUAAUACUGGAUACGACCGAUCUCCGCAUGGAGUGUUGGUGGAAAGUUUUUGUGGUGGGGGAUGGACUCGCGGCCUAUCAGCUUGUUGGUGGGGUAAUGGCCUACCAAGGCGACGACGGGUAGCCGGCCUGAGAGGGCGACCGGCCACACUGGGACUGAGACACGGCCCAGACUCCUACGGGAGGCAGCAGUGGGGAAUAUUGCACAAUGGGCGAAAGCCUGAUGCAGCGACGCCGCGUGAGGGAUGACGGCCUUCGGGUUGUAAACCUCUUUCACCAGGGACGAAGCUAACGUGACGGUACCUGGAGAAGAAGCACCGGCUAACUACGUGCCAGCAGCCGCGGUAAUACGUAGGGUGCGAGCGUUGUCCGGAAUUAUUGGGCGUAAAGAGCUUGUAGGCGGUUUGUCGCGUCUGCUGUGAAAGACCGGGGCUUAACUCCGGUUCUGCAGUGGGUACGGGCAGACUAGAGUGUGGUAGGGGAGACUGGAAUUCCUGGUGUAGCGGUGAAAUGCGCAGAUAUCAGGAGGAACACCGAUGGCGAAGGCAGGUCUCUGGGCCAUUACUGACGCUGAGAAGCGAAAGCAUGGGGAGCGAACAGGAUUAGAUACCCUGGUAGUCCAUGCCGUAAACGUUGGGCGCUAGGUGUGGGACUCAUUCCA
rnacentral:rRNA from 1 species